AGGUGCAUACUGGGAAGGUAAAAGUUCGAGCUUUAAGAGUCGGGAAGUUCAAGAAACAAGGCCAUCUUCUUCAAUCAAGGAAACAGAUCAAAAAGAAUCAAGAAUCCAGUCUUGAGGAGCAGUAGAAGUCGAGUUACACCAUUUACAAGUUAAGACUCUUGUGCAGGGAAAAGCAAGCUAAGGUAGUCCGAGGGAUGAGCUGUAGUGAAGUCAUGUCUCAACUGUCAUAGUGGAUGCAAGCUUGAACAUGAUCAUAUUUUGCAACUUACUUCUGCUCAUGAACACUGUUUAACUUUAUUUUAUAACUUUCUUUUGGGUCUGUAAUAACUAACUUAAUUUCAUAUGUGAUGAAUGUUUAUUUUAAGAUUAGCUCGUAGAGUCAAUUCAACCA